rnacentral:rRNA from 1 species
GCAAGAUUAAAACUCAAAGGAAUAGACGGGGACCCGCACAAGUGGUGGAGCAUGUGGUUUAAUUCGAAGAUACGCGAAGAACCUUACCUAGCCUUGACAUUGAUAGAAUCUUCCAGAGAUGGAGGAGUGCCUUUCGGGGAACUUGAAAACAGGUGCUGCACGGCUGUCGUCAGCUCGUGUCGUGAGAUGUUGGGUUAAGUCCCGCAACGAGCGCAACCCUCGUCAUUAGUUACUAACAGUUCGGCUGAGGACUCUAAUGAGACUGCCUUCGUAAGGGGGAGGAAGGUGAGGACGACGUCAAGUCAUCAUGGCCCUUACGGCUAGGGCGACACACGUGCUACAAUGGUUAGGACAAUGAGAAGCGAUACCGCGAGGUGGAGCAAAUCUAUAAACCUAAUCUCAGUUCGGAUUGUAGUCUGCAACUCGACUACAUGAAGCUGGAAUCACUAGUAAUCGUAGAUCAGCCAUGCUACGGUGAAUACGUUCCCGGGUCUUGUACUCACCGCCCGUCACACCAUGGGAGUUGAUUUCACCCGAAGCGGGGAAGCUAAACUGGCUACCCUCCACGGUGGAGUUAGCGACUGGGGUGAAGUCGUAACAAGGUA